GACGAACGCUGGCGGCGUGCUUAACACAUGCAAGUCGAACGGAAAGGCCCUGCUUUUGUGGGGUGCUCGAGUGGCGAACGGGUGAGUAACACGUGAGUAACCUGCCCUUGACUUUGGGAUAACUUCAGGAAACUGGGGCUAAUACCGGAUAGGAGCUCCUGCUGCAUGGUGGGGGUUGGAAAGUUUCGGCGGUUGGGGAUGGACUCGCGGCUUAUCAGCUUGUUGGUGGGGUAGUGGCUUACCAAGGCAUUGACGGGUAGCCGGCCUGAGAGGGUGACCGGCCGCAUUGGGACUGAGAUACGGCCCAGACUCCUACGGGAGGCAGCAGUGGGGAAUAUUGCACAAUGGGCGGAAGCCUGAUGCAGCAACGCCGCGUGCGGGAUGACGGCCUUCGGGUUGUGAACCGAUUUCGCCUGUGACGAAGCGUGAGUGACGUUAACGAGUAAAGAAGCACCGGCUAACUACGUG
rnacentral:rRNA from 1 species